UCUCGAUCUCGACAUUGCAGCACUGGUGCCUGUCACUGUGCACGCCUUCCUCAACUUCCAAAGUGUGUGGCUUUUUUGUGACCAUCCAGCCUGUUCCCCAACCUCCCUCAGGAGCAGGGAUUGGCAGUGCUGAUCAUCCAAGGCAGGAGGUGAGAGCCCAGCCUACCUGGAAUCCUAGGCUGUGUGGAGGAGAGGGUUAGUGUCUGAACCAGAAGCAGCUUUGGCCGAGAAAAAGCAGUACAAGGUGUGGAAAAUCAACUGCUCAAGCGCUUCCUUCCUCUUGGUGACGCUGCUGCUGCAUUUCCUUCACUGAUGUCAGAACCGGAUUCUUCAGGCUUCUCAUGUAGACUGAAGACCAUCAUCUCUCCAGGCCUUCAAUGUCAAAAUGGGACUGCUGGGGCAUUUGGCCUUAUGGAAUAAGCAACUACUGGGUUCUUGCUCUUUCCAGUGCGAGACAGCCAUUGUUGGAUUAUUCUGGCCACAUCCUAAUUAUAUCAUACAUAUCUGGUCGUGGUGUGUGUGUGUAUGAAUGUUUUAUUAUUAGGUUGACUUAUACAUAUUCACUAUAUUUGUUAAGGUGCUGUGGCCUGUGCCUGUAACCCCAGCACUGGGGCAGAUCCCCAGGGCUCACUGUCAGCCAGCUCCAGGCUAGGAGAUGCAUACAAUGUGUUUUG
rnacentral:lncRNA from 1 species